CAACGGCGAGGAUGCCAACAGGAAGCGGACUCAAGGAUGAGGGUCAGGAGCGCCAGGAGGCGAAGACAAAGGACAGUCAGGAAGACGUACGCCUGGAGGCGUUUGAAAAAGGAAAAGGACCUGUCACGGACGGUAGCUGCUCACGGAAAAACAGGGUGAGUUGUCAGCAAACAGGGAUUGUCAGACCCAUAACGCGUUAUGAGUCAGGAAAAAAGGCGACAGAUUGCUCUGUCGCCUUUUUUCUUUGCUUGCUU
rfam:Leclercia adecarboxylata strain I1 Leclercia_S84_R1__paired__contig_22, whole genome shotgun sequence.